ACCCUCUUUCCCUGCCUCCCAGCUGUGCCCUCCAGGGCCCUGCAGUAUGGAGCUAGUCAACAGGACAGAGGUCUCUGAGUUCUUUCUGAAAGGGUUUUCGGGCUACCCAGCCUUGGAGCACCUGCUCUGCCCUCUGUGCUCAGCCACGUACCUGGUGACCCUGCUGGGGAAUACAGCCAUCGUGGCAGUGAGCUGGACGUCCACCUGCACACGCCCAUGUACUUCUUCCUGGGCAACCUCUCCAUCCUGGAUACCUGCUACAGUCCACCUUUGUGCCCCUGCUGCUGGUCCACCUCCUGUCGGCCCAGAAGACCAUCUCCUUUCUUGGCUGCGCAAUGCAGAUGUGUCUGAGCCUGUCCAUAGGCUCCACAGAGUGUCUGCUGCUCGCCAUCAUGGCCUAUGAUCACUACCUGGCCAACUGCCGGCCACUCAGGUGCUGAUGAGCCACCGGCUCUGCUUGCUGCUGGCGGGAGCCACCUGGGUACUCUGUUUCUUCAAGUCAGUGACUCAGACAGUCAUCGCCAUGAGGCUGCCCUUCUGUGGCCACCGUGUGGUCAGUCACUUCACCUGCGAAAUCCUGGCAGUGCUGAAGCUGGCGUGCGGUGAUACGUCAGUCAACGAGGUCUUCCUGUGGGUGGGUGCCAUCCUGCUGCUGCCCGUGCCCCUGGCGUUCAUCUGCCUGUCCUACAUGCUUACCCUGGCCACCAUCCUGAGGGUGCCCUCGACCGCUGGACGCCACAAAGCCUUCUCCACCUGCUCGGCGCACCUGGCUGUGAUGCUGCUUUUCUAUGGCACCGUCAUCUUCAUGUACCUGAAACCCAGGAUCGAGGAGGCCCGCAUCUCUGAUGAGGCCUCCACGGUCCUCUAUGCUGUGGUCACGUCCAUGCUGAACCCCGUCAUCUACAGCCUGAGGAACAAGGAAGUGACGGAGGCCGCCAGGAAGGUGUGGGACAGGAGAUGGACUCCAGGUGAGGGAGGCCGGGGCUCUGCAGGCUAG